rnacentral:lncRNA from 1 species
GCUAAUUUUGUAUUUUUAGUUACACAGUAACAAAUGUGACUGAGGUCUACCUGCGCUCUCAGCUGAUGCUGGCACCUUUAUUGCCUAGGUGUUUAAUGCUUCUCAGGUCUGCAUCCUAUCUCCCGUCACACACUCUCAUAUGCUAUGUAGGAUGAGGACACAGCUGACACACUUAGUCACUGCACCUUGUAUGAUAUAAUACAACAGCUGAGAGAGUGGGACACAUUCUUCAUUCCCAUUCUGUCAGUGUAACAUAGCAUAUAGCAGCUGAGAACGGGGUACAUCCCUGACUCACAUGAUGUCACAAUGUCACAUAUGAUAUCAUAAGUCAUCCAGUGGGCUAGGCACGGUGGCUGACACCUAUAAUCCCCACACUUUGAGCCUGCCAAAGUGCCUUUUUUUGUGCCUUUCACAUAAAGACUAUGACACAGCUAAGCUAUUCAUGUACUAAUAAAUACCUGCCCUGAGCUGUGUGACCACGGACACCACCCUAUAAUGUGGCCAGUGUGUAGGAACUCUGCAGGCUCAGAUCAUUCCAGACAUACAUGCAGAUGUUGGAACUCCCUUGCACAGUGACUCAUGAUCCCAAGGCUGAGUGCUGAGGGCAGGAUUAACCUCAGCGAUUGUUGCUGGCAUCAGUGCAGCCCUGGGACCAGAGCACACCUGGGGUCCGGCGGAACUCUACCCUAGGGCCCUUCAUCUUCCGAGGCUAUGACUCAGCACCUCCAGGCCCUUGGACCCUGGAGAAUGACAGCCACACAGAUGCAUGUGGUCCACAGUAACACAAAGUACCAGAGCAUGGAGGAGGCACCACGCCACGGUGAUGGGCUCGAGUGCA